CGAGCUCAUUACUUGCACAAGGUGUAAAAAGGACCAACACUUCUACCUUUGCACUACUAGGGAUUAUAGACUCUACCAUGAUGUUUUGGCUAAUAAAAGGUGAGGUGCCUCGACUGGCCUUACAAGAGGUAAAUCUUUAUCAUUAGUUUGCUUGUAUAUGUAUAUAUUCAUAUGUAAAUCCACUACAUGUUAUGCUGAGUAAUGUGUAUUUGUGUUUGUGAAAGAUAAACUAUGAUGCUAAUGAAGAAAAGGUAAGUCACAAAAUUUACAGAUCAUGUACAAGAGAUCAAAAAUGCAGAAUGCACCUCUUGUAUCUGCUUUUGUUGCUACAACAAUCGCUUUAGGGAUUUUCAGUGCCGCACUUACAUUUAUUAUAUGUAAAAUGCACAGCCCUAAUCUCCCCUAAUCAUUAGUUUGGCUUAAUGAUUAUGCAGAUUGGAAGUUUCAUCUUUCAAACUUUAUGUCGACUAUACGUAAAAUCCAAACUGCAUGAUCAUAUUUUUUAUUAACGGCCCAAGUUUAAUCACCACUUUCAAAUGAAAUCUGGAUGCACAGGUCAUCUUCCACCGUAUAGUACACAAAUCCCUAUAGUGUUGGUGGCAGCAUCUAUAGAGGCUCUAGGCAUGGAGGUGAUAGACAACAAGGCUCUCUAACUAGUCAUCGUUUAUUCAGGUUCUGUGGUGGCCAUGCAUUGGAUGCUUUUAUUAAAACUUCUUCUUGCUGUAUGAUGGGUGAUGAUUAGACUUGAAAAUUUGUGUUUGGAAUUUGGGUUUUAGAGAAGAAAAAGAAAACUCUUUGGAAUUAAUAAAAGAAGAACGAAGGGAUAAUAGAGGAU
rnacentral:lncRNA from 1 species